rnacentral:lncRNA from 1 species
UUCGCCUGAUCCGCCGCCGCCUAAUUCGCCUGCUUCACCUGCUCCGCCGCCGCCUAAUUCGCCUGCUUCACCUGCUCCGCCGCCGCCUGCUCCGCCCCCUACCUGCCUGCUCCGAUAAGCUCAGCCCUAAUUCGAAACCCUAGCCUAAAAUCAGGUAAUAGCUGAAUGCAGGGGCUAUCUGUAAUCAAUUUUUUUCUACUUCCCCAUAUAUGGCUGAAUGCAGGGGCUAUCUGCAAUCAAUUUAAGGAAAUUCAUAUAGUCAUUUAACGUAUUCGAUUGCCACUUUUCUACUUCUAGAUUUGCUGUGGUCGUAUUGAUUGGCACUAUUCAGGUUGGUCCAAUUCCCUUCACUAGUGUGUGUAUUCAUCUUGAGUCUAUUCCAUUCUGUUAUCAUGGUUGGCAACUAGGAAGUAGGAAUAUUGUUCAGAUUUGAUUCUAAAAUGAUUUGAGUGUGAAUUACUUUCAAUGGGCUUGAAAACAAGUUGGUGCUCUCUUACACAUGCAUUAACGUAUUCGAUUAAGGAAUAGGAAUUCAUGGUUGUCUGUAAUCAAUUUGAAUCAAUUAAGGAAUUCAUGGUUGUCUGUAAUCAAUUUGAAGGUUUAAUUAUUUAUUAGUACAUUUGAUUGAGGCGCUCUCUCACACAGAUUUACUUUUCUACUUCCAGAUUUGAUCGUGACUGGAAGAAAAUUGAGGCUUUUGUUGGCUCAAAGACACUAAUCCAG